rnacentral:rRNA from 1 species
UGGGAAUUUGGACGAAUUGGGCGAAAGCCUGAUCCAGCAAUGCCGCGUGUGUGAAGAAGGCCUUCGGGUUGUAAAGCACUUUUGUCCGGAAAGAAAUCCUUGGCUCUAAUACAGUCGGGGGAUGACGGUACCGGAAGAAUAAGCACCGGCUAACUACGUGCCAGCAGCCGCGGUAAUACGUAGGGUGCAAGCGUUAAUCGGAAUUACUGGGCGUAAAGCGUGCGCAGGCGGUUUGCUAAGACCGAUGUGAAAUCCCCGGGCUCAACCUGGGAACUGCAUUGGUGACUGGCAGGCUAGAGUAUGGCAGAGGGGGGUGAGAAUUCCACGUGUAGCAGUGAAAUGCGUAGAGAUGUGGAGGAAUACCGAUGGCGAAGGCAGCCCCUGGCAAGUACUGACGCUCAUGCACGAAAGCGUGGGGAGCAAACGGAUUAAUNCCCUGGUAGUCCACGCCCU